UUUUCGAUGAAUUUUGAGGUAAAUAUUGGGGUAAUUCCAAAGAAAUUUCAAAUAGGUUACUUGCUAAUUAUGACCUAAUUACCAUGAAAUGUGCGGACCUGUAAAAUCAUGUGUUACCCUGUGAAUCUGUCUCGAGUGUUCUGUUAACAAACUGAGCCAUUGUUUGAUGGGUAAUGUAGUUUUAUCUUUCCAACUGAGCAACAUGAUCUACUUAGCCACAGUAAUGGCUUUUAGAAAUAAAUAGUUUAGUGUUGUGUGAUAUGAAGUGCAGAGAGGUCACCCAGGAGUGACAUGAGUGGACACAUGGGAAUGCUGAGGCCGAGUAUCUGGGAUAGCUUGCCCAUGACCUCCGACCAGAGGGAUUAAAGCGGUGUGCAGAGCCGGUAGGCAUGAAAACAAUCAUCUGUUGCAUGUGGACAGUCGGGGCAUUUGGUAUCAUCAGAGAAUCCCACAUGGAAGAGUUGCUCCUUUCAGCUGGUUGAAGGUCAUGAUGAACAAGCCACCACUGAAUAGGUGCUCCACCCACGUUGAAUCCUCUCUUCUCCUUCCAUGCUGGGAAGACAACCUUAACCUUCGGAGGGUGGUGAAAACUGCUCAGCAGCACAUCACCAGGAAGGACCUGCCAUCCAUAGAUGUUCUCUACACCCAGUGGUUUAGGAAGAAGACCAUCAGGAUAAUCAGAAACCCCAACCACCCCAGCUAUGCAAUGUUCUGCUUCCUGUUCUGCAGCUUCCGGUACCACACCACCAGGCUCAAGGACAGCUUCUUCCCACAGACCAUUAAACUUUUGAUGUCUUAAGUUCAUCACAACGGUCACUUCAGCAUCCCUUUACCCUUGGCAUUUUGUACAUACAUUUAAGACAUCCAAUGUUUACACAAUAGUUUAUUCACUUUGCAAUUACUGUUUGCCAAUAAUAUAUUUUAUUUUAAUUCAUGUAUAUCAUGCUUUACAACUUUAUCUUAAAUUUACACUAUUUUAUGUCUUAUAUUCUCAUAUAUUAGUCUAUUUAUACAUAUUUAUUGAGCCUGAACUCUAAAAUUGCAAAAGACUGCUUCCUUGUAACUGUCAUAUG